rfam:Pteropus alecto contig10783, whole genome shotgun sequence.
GGUUCCAUAGUGUAGCGGUUAGCACGUCCGCUUUACACACAGAAGGUCCUGGAAUCAUGCCCUCGUGGAGCCA